UCCGAACCCACUUCAGUUAAAAAUGGAGGGGAUGAGCUGUGGAUAGGGGUGAAAGGCUAAACAAACUCGGAGAUAGCUGGUUCUCCCCGAAAGCUAUUUAGGUAGCGCCUCGGACGAAUACCAUUGGGGGUAGAGCACUGUUUCGGCUAGGGGGUCAUCCCGACUUACCAACCCUUUGCAAACUCCGAAUACCCAUGAGUGCUAUCCGGGAGACACACGGCGGGUGCUAACGUCCGUCGUG
rnacentral:rRNA from 1 species